rnacentral:rRNA from 1 species
GAUGAACGCUGGCGGCGUGCUUAACACAUGCAAGUCGAACGAAGCACUUAAGAAUGAUUCUUCGGAUGAAUUUUUUUGUGACUUAGUGGCGGACGGGUGAGUAACGCGUGGGUAACCUGCCUCACACAGGGGGAUAACAGUUGGAAACGACCGCUAAUACCGCAUAACCCGCUAGGGCCGCAUGGCCCGGACGGAAAAGAUUUAUCGGUGUGAGAUGGACCCGCGUUGGAUUAGCUAGUUGGCAGGGUAACGGCCUACCAAGGCGACGAUCCAUAGCCGGCCUGAGAGGGUGAACGGCCACAUUGGGACUGAGACACGGCCCAAACUCCUACGGGAGGCAGCAGUGGGGAAUAUUGCACAAUGGGGGAAACCCUGAUGCAGCGACGCCGCGUGAGUGAAGAAGUAUUUCGGUAUGUAAAGCUCUAUCAGCAGGGAAGAAAAUGACGG